AUACGUAGGUCCCAAGCGUUGCGCGAUCUCACUGGGCGUAAAGCGUCCCCAGCCGGUCCGGUAAGCGGAUUGUCAAAACCCGCGGCUCAACCGCGGUAGGGCAACCCGAACUGCCGGACUUGAGGCAAUCCCAGGCAGGCGGAAUUCCCGGUGUGGCGGUGAAAUGCGUAGAUAUCGGGAGGAACACCAAAGGGGAAGCCAGCCUGCUGGGGCUGCCCUGACGGUCACGGACGAAAGCUGGGGGAGCAAACCGAAUUAGAAACCCUAGUAGUCC
rnacentral:rRNA from 1 species